rnacentral:other from 2 species
AUAUUCCUGGGUUAUGCGUCAGGGAAUCAUAAUUGAACCUACACUUCUAAAUCGGGAAUUCGGAGUUUUCAAAGCGUUAUGUCAUGCCUCAUUAUCAGAGGAAGACAGAGGCGAGAAACAGAGUACCCACCUAUCUUUUGAUAGGGCGUCAAUUAUCUCCCCAACGGUAACCCGGGGUAUU